AUGUUUGUCACAUGAAUUUCUUCAAUCUCUAUUGAAACGAGCUGUUAAGGUACAUGUAGAGACAUUGCGUACAAAUUGACUUGACCAAUCCUGAUCUCCCAUCUUUAAGUCUAUCAAAAGGAUGUGCUCUGGUACAACUUUUGGUUUUUGUUUAUUUUAUUUUGAUGGGUGAUCUUUAAAUGUAUUUUGUUGUGGGUUUUGAAUAAAGAGAUAUUAGUGUCACUUGCAUUGCAUAUUUAUUCCUCUUGAGAAAUGUUGGUACAGCUCUGAUAUUUCAGGACCUGAGGGCAUCUGACUUCUGUAUCAUCUGGUCAGUAAUGGAAAAUUAAUUGGAAGGCUGUGUUUACAUAUACUGGUAAUUAGCUGCACAACAUGUCAUAUCUACUUGUAGUUCCAUUCUUGAGAAAGGAAUUGUGUAUUUGAUCUUUAUCCCCAUUAACUCGUCUAGUCUUUGGAUCACAUGCAGUUGACUGCUAGGCCGGAUAAUGGUAGUGAUGUUGAGAUUUACUUGAAAUUGCGACAACAGCUUCGAAAAUCAUGUAAGCGCCUUAACAUAUCCAUGCAAUAUGGUGUUGCAUUUGUAUUCCACACGCACAUACACAUGUUUCUGCAUUUUGUGUUCCUUGAAUCGAUCUGUUCAGUUCCCUGACUGAAUCUUGGUAAGUUGAUAUCAUGGUAUUGGUUAUUAGUCAUUUAGUUCCUAUUAAGUUGUAAGUAAUGUCUUGCAUGGAGUAACCGUUGAUGCUGAUUACAUUCCUCGUACGGCCUAAUUGAAAUGCCAUCCUUGUGACAUUCUUCUUGGCCGGUCCGGAARACGAACUUAUGUUUAUCACCCGAAUCGGGGAAUUCAACAGAGACUAGAAUCAGCCAUUUCUGCUUUGAACUUGCAUUGUUUACAUCUCCUCUUGGUACUCUCAUUUCUCCACAAGUGUAUCUUGAUGUUAACCAUUUUUCUGGGAUCAUUCCUAUAUUAAUCAACAGAGGACAUAAUUAAAAUAUUUUACAAAUCUGUAUAUGACUCCCAACAGAAAGAUGAUGACGGGAGAGAGCUAUUUUUAGUUGACUUAGACAAGUGACUGGAAUCCGCCACUUCUGCUUUCAACAUAUAUUUUUUACAUCCCCUCCUAGUACUCUUAUUUCUCCGCAAGUGUUAUCUUGAUGUUAACCUUUUCUCUGGGAUCAUUCCUAGAUUUAUCAAGUGAAGGAAAUAAAUAAAAUAUUUUAUGUGGCUUUCAACAUAGAGAUGUUGACAUGAGAGUUCUGUCAAAAUGUGUUUUAAGUUGAAUUAGAAAACGGAUGGCUUUUAUCCCUCCUUGGUUUAAAAAUUCUUGCUUAAAUUAAUCACCUUUAAUCAAAGGCCAGGGUUUCUUGAAAAUAUCUCUCUCUUUUUCAUACAUUAUCAAAGCCUUUCUAAAUACUCUGUUUAUAUACGUCUACAUUCUUUGUGUGUCAUUUACUUGUUUUUCACUAAAUUACAACCUUUUAGAGUUCUGUCAGGAGUGGCUGAUGAUCUGCUGGAUAAUUUGAUCAUCAUGGUUUGAUUUUUGGGAAAUUUCUUUCCCCCCUCUGUUUAUGACAUGUACACGAGUUCUGCAAUAACAUGUUCACGGUUUCUUACUUCGGAAGUUCUUGUACCAGUGCAUCUUGUUUGGAGCUAAAGUUGUUCGGUAGGCUGCACCUUGGAUUAUCUUGGUUCGUCUGUCUCUAAUUAUUUUUUCAUGCCGACUAUUGGUCAUUCUUCAUAGCUUUUUUGUUUUUAGAUGUGCAUUUUUGCUUCUUUAGUUAUUUCCAGUUCUUCAUAUUGAUAUCCAGUACCCUUGCUCAAAAGAUCUCACCUUUUGUAGAGCACGCUAGUGGAACCACAUGAUGAGCCUUCCGCCGACACUAAAGGUUGAGUUCAUGGCUUUGGUUGUCCCUUCUAUUUCGUGUAAUGGAGGAUGCGUUGCUUUUUGUUCUUCUGCUAGACCAUGGAUCUAGCCAACUCAAGGACAAUGUUUGUGGACAAUUCUUGCAAAUCCCAUGCAUGGUGGUAAACUGCAAUCCUGGUAAAUGGCAACCGAGCUGGUUUGUCGUUUCUGUUCAAAAUCUCAAUUCAUAUCCAUGUAGAUAUUUUUCGUUUAUUAUUCUUUUAGGUUACAUGACUUGGCCAUUUUUAGUUCUGUCAACGAAUGAAUUACCUACCGGAUGAUUUGGUUAUCAUGGCUUAAUUUGGACGAUGCGAUUGGGAAAUUCUUUUCUUCCCUCUGUUUUGCAGUAACAUGUUCUUGUUUUUUUGCUUCUUCAGUUUUGUACCAGCUCUAUUUUGUGGAAUAGAAGUCGUUAAUUAGGCUGCAGCUCGGCCAUCUCUGUUGGUCUGUCUCAAAAUAUGGUUUAAUAUGGAUGAUAUGUAUGCAUAUGUAGGGAUCAUCGCCUACUUAGUACAUUUAGUGCAUAAAUAAGGUUGUGGCUGAUCAUAGUCCUGUGGCUUAUCCUCUCUCUUAAUUUCCCCUACUUAUAUGGGUUGUUUGUUGUUAGAGGGGAUAUGACUAACAUACACAAUUUCCUCUUUACUGAACUUUCUCUCAGAUUCCUAUUUGAUCCUAAAUUUCGAAGAUAACUCCAUACUUGAUUUUCCAGAUUAAGAGUUUCAAUUGGUCGUUGGUAUUAUCAACCCUGAUUGAAUUUAUAUUGUUAUAUCAAUGGGUGUCCAUAUUUCUCUGGUACUGUCAGAAGAUCUCACUUUUUUCUUAAAGCGCGAUAGUAUGCCGUUUUAGACCUCAUG